GUGCUCUUUGGCAGCCUAUAUGCUAAAACUGGAAUGAUGCAGGGAAGAUUAACAUGGCCUCAGCAAAAAUGAAUCACAAAUUCAUGAAACAGUCAACAUUUUU